rnacentral:tRNA from 1 species
GGACAGAUAGCUCAGUUGGUAGAGCACUAGAUUGAAGCUCUAGGUGUCGGCAGUUCGAAUCUGUCUCUGUCCACCA